CCUACGGGUGGCAGCAGUGGGGAAUAUUGGGCAAUGGGCGCAAGCCUGACCCAGCAAUGCCGCGUGAAGGAAGAAGGCUUUCGGGUUGUAAACUUCCUUGACAGGGGGAGAGCAGAAGACGGUACCCUGAAAACAAGCCACGGCUAACUACGUGCCAGCAGCCGCGGUAAUACGUAGGUGGCGAGCGUUGUCCGGAUUUACUGGGUGUAAAGGGCGUGUAGCCGGGAAGGUAAGUCAGAUGUGAAAGUCGGAGGCUCAACCGUCAAAUUGCAUUUGAUACUGAUUUUCUUGAGUACAGGAGAGGCAGACGGAAUUCCUUGUGUAGCGGUGAAAUGCGUAGAUAUAAGGAGGAACACCGGUGGCGAAGGCGGUCUGCUGGACAGCAACUGACGGUGAGGCGCGAAAGCGUGGGGAGCAAACAGGAUUAGAUACCCUGGUAGUC
rnacentral:rRNA from 1 species